AUCCUACCCUUAAAGGAGCCGUUUAUCUUAUUUCCAGACACCUCUGCUUGACAGAAUGCAAAGUUUUUAUGACAAUGCAGAGUCAAGAUAUUGUGACAAGAUAUGCCAGCUUGAAGAAGACCAUCCAGUGAUCAUGGUGUUCCACUCAAUUUUUCAGAAUUAUGUGUCAGAUUGAAAUUCAUCUUAUGGUGCACAAAACAAUCAGGAUAUUCUUCUGGAUCUAGUCCAAAGUAUUGACAGAACCAAAGAAUACCUGAUAGUCUGUAAAUGGAGUGAUCAUUCUGAUUGGAUGAACCAGGCAACACUGAUUAUCUCAAGAAAUUUUAGGCUAGAGACUCCAUCUUCAUUCAUAAAUGAUUGAUGUUGACAUUUUCUCACGGGCUUUUGUUUCAUAUCUUCUUUUUCAUAACAUGGACAUUAUGCAGCAUCAGUUAUCCUGUCAAAGUGUUCAAAGUAAUUGAUUCUGAGACUUAUUUAAAAUCUGUUAUUAAACAAGCUGUAAUAAAAUCAUGAUAGCAAUAA